GCCUUCGUGGCUCAGUGCUUGAGCAUCUGUUUGACAUACAGAAGGUCCCAGGUUCGAUCUCUGGCAUCUCCA
rnacentral:tRNA from 1 species